AGUCCGGAGAGGGAGCAUGAGAAAUGGCUACUACAUCUAAGGGUGGCAGCAGGCGCGAAAAUUGCCCAAUACAGACUCUGUGAGGCAGUGACAAAAAAUAACAAUAGCUUGGUGUUUAACACUAUGCUAAUUGGAAUGAGAACAAAAUAAUAUUUUUAACGAGAAACAAGAAGAGGGCAAGUCUGGUGCCAGCAGCCGCGGUAAUACCAGCUCUUCUAGCAUAUAUUAAAAUUGCUGCAGUUAAAACCUCGUAGUUUGAAUUAUUGUCACGCGGGUAUUGUAUGUUGAUUUAAUUCUGACAUGUGGUAUGACGCGGGCAUUAAAAACAUAUUGCUUGUGCACUUGUUAAGUCAGGUGUGCAGGAUAUAACCAUGAACAAAAAUUGUCGCUCAAAAAAGGACUUGGGUCUAUUGGGAUUUCAGCAUGGGAUUAUAGAAGACGGAAGUGUCAAGACAGAGGUGUCCUACGGGGCUGCCCUGAUUGCAUUUCAAUGGUUAAUGAGGACGAUGCGUGGAAGUUCAUAUUAGAAUGUCAGAGGUGAAAUUCUUGGAUUAUUCUACGAUGAACAUCAGCGAAGGCAUCCUUCAAGUGCGUGCCUGUCAAUCAAGAACGAAAGUUGGGGGAUCGAAGACGAUCAGAUACCGUCGUAGUCUCAACAGUAAACUAUGCCGACUAUGAAUUGGAUAUCGUUUUAAGAGGAUUUUUGUACGGGGGUAAAAGCUCGUAUUGCCUCUGAUGACUUCUCCAGCGCAUUACAAGAAAUUAAGAGUUUUUGGGUUCCGGGGGGAGUAUAGUCGCAAGGCCGAAACUUAAAGGAAUUGACGGAAGGGCACCACCAGGUGUGGAGCCUGCGGCUUAAUUUGACCCAACACGGGGAAACUUACCAGGUCCAAACAGCGUAAGGAUUGACAGAUUGAUAGCUCUUUCAUGAUUCGUUUGGUGGUGGUGCAUGGCCGUUCUUAGUUGGUGGUGUUAGUUGUCUGGUUGAUUCCGUUAACGAACGAGACCUUUGUUGUAUAAUAGGAGGCAGUAGUUUUUGCGUAAAAGGGUGUGUGGGAACUUGCUGGGAUACGAGCAAUCGCCUCGGUAAAAUUGCCGCCACUUGCAUAGCUAGUGUCAGUUUCCUUCUAUACAAGACAAAUACAGAAAAUGUAUUGGAAGUUAUAGGCAAAAACAGGUCUGUGAUGCCCUUCGAUGUUCUGGG
rnacentral:rRNA from 1 species